rnacentral:rRNA from 1 species
AUUGAACGCUGGCGGCAUGCCUUACACAUGCAAGUCGAACGGUAACGGGCCUUCGGGUGCCGACGAGUGGCGAACGGGUGAGUAAUGUAUCGGAACGUACCUUUCAGUGGGGGAUAACGUAGCGAAAGUUACGCUAAUACCGCAUAUUCUGUGAGCAGGAAAGCAGGGGAUCGCAAGACCUUGCGCUGAUUGAGCGGCCGAUAUCAGAUUAGCUAGUUGGUGAGGUAAAGGCUCACCAAGGCGACGAUCUGUAGCGGGUCUGAGAGGAUGAUCCGCCACACUGGAACUGAGACACGGUCCAGACUCCUACGGGAGGCAGCAGUGGGGAAUUUUGGACAAUGGGGGCAACCCUGAUCCAGCCAUGCCGCGUGAGUGAAG